GAUGAACGCUGGCGGCGUGCUUAACACAUGCAAGUCGAACGAAGCAUUUAGAACAGAUUACUUCGGUUUGAAGUUCUUAUGACUGAGUGGCGGACGGGUGAGUAACGCGUGGGUAACCUGCCUUGUACUGGGGGAUAGCAGCUGGAAACGGCUGGUAAUACCGCAUAAGCUUACGGUACCGCAUGGUACAGUAAGAAAAACUCCGGUGGUACAGGAUGGGCCCGCGUCUGAUUAGCUGGUUGGCGGUGUAACGGACCACCAAGGCAACGAUCAGUAGCCGGCUUGAGAGAGUGAACGGCCACAUUGGGACUGAGACACGGCCCAAACUCCUACGGGAGGCAGCAGUGGGGAAUAUUGCACAAUGGGGGAAACCCUGAUGCAGCAACGCCGCGUGAGUGAAGAAGUAUUUCGGUAUGUAAAGCUCUAUCAGCAGGGAAGAAAAUGACGGUACCUGACUAAGAAGCACCGGCUAAAUACGUG
rnacentral:rRNA from 1 species